CUUCGAGCGCUAGAUGGCCACGAGUUAAAAAACAAAAGACGGAAUGAUAAAUUAUUAUUUAUUUUUUUUGUGGCGAAAACCAGUUGCCAUAUACCUUCGGAUUUUAAAGUUUUGAUCGCUUUUCAAGCAAUUUCCUAGAAAUGUUGAAAGAUUACACAGCGAAGCAAAGCAUAUUUACUGAGAGUAAAAACAAGAUCAACUUAAUGGUAUACAAAAAGAAUAUUGCCUGGAUGAGCAAGUCUACUGUAUCUGCUGUAGCUCAGACGAACCCAUGGACUCACUACUGUGGUGAAUGCAUUCCUUGUUAUUAUGUAAAUAGUUGCAACAAGUGUGACUUAAUGAAAACCAUGCCAGCUGUUAACGUAAGAAGAGGAAAUUGUUGGAAAACCCAUCUUGAAUGAAGCCAAAUAUUCCUAUGCUGAUGUUUGAGAGCCCAGCCUGUGAUAUAAUAAUACCCCCUGUUCUAGCUAGAAAAGGCAAGAAGAAGAAAUUGUUCCUUUGCUACUUCUGGGGACCACCAUAACAGCCAACAGCACAUCACAGCACCAGAAUACAGAAGAGUCCUGUUUUGUACUAUUGACAUAUUGCUUCCAUGGAGUUGGUACGGGAAAACAACACUGACAGGCCAUAGUUAAAAGCUUCUCAAGACUUACCUCCGUCGCCUUGCCCGUCGUCUUGUCCGUCGCCUUGCCCGUCGUCUUGUCCGUCGCCUUGCCCGUCGCCUUGCCCGUCGCCUUGCCCGUCGCCUUGCCCGUCGCCUUGCCCGUCGCCUUGCCCGUCGCCUUGCCCAUCGCCUUGCCCGUCGUCUCGUCCGUCGCCUUGCCCGUCGUCUCGUUUGUCGCCUUGCCCGUCGUCUUUCCCGCCACCAGCCUUCGCUUCGCCCGUUACCCCGCCUUCGUCUCCUGUCUUCAGUUCGCCCGUCACCGCACCGUCUCCACUUCGCCCGUUGCCCCGUCUUCGCCUCGUGGUCGCCCCGUCACCGCCUCGUAUUUUGGUAUCGUCGUACUUUUUAAUGUGUAAUUGUGUAGUAUUAAUUAACCCGUUGGCUGCCACCCACUUUGAUCCCCUUUUUUUUUAAAGCUUGUUAGGGUCCGGCAGCGCUGUUCUGCCCAAUGGUCUAUAUGCCAUGGGUGGGACAGUUGCACAAGCCGUGUGGCUCAAAGUCGAUCGUCGAGGCAAUGCACCAGUAGAGACUUCCCCCUUGUCGAUGUGGUGUUGGUUGCCUGGGGUGUGCAUUCCCAUAACGGCUUCCAUCAUCAAAUCAGCCCGGACUUGUUUUCGGACAAGUCCCCCUUGGUCGCUAUCCUUUCGAUAGCGAUGUAGCUACUGUAGAUUUAGUGGCGUGGCAGCCAACGGGUUAGUUUUAUUUAUGUAUGUUUUGUAUUGUAUUGUAUUGUAUUGUAAAAUGUAAAAAUUUUGUGGUGGAUUUGUGGGUGGAUGGAGGGACAAUAAAUACUUUAUAUUAUU
rnacentral:lncRNA from 1 species